rnacentral:rRNA from 1 species
GACUAUAAUCGUAUAUAUCAAAGUUGCUGCAGUUAAAAUAGCUCGUAGUUGGAUCUCAGGAGGACUUCACUUGGUCGGUCUAACUGGUCAAACUCGUCUGUCUCUUCCGUGUUUCUGAAUCCCGCCCGGAGUUCAUUCUCCGGAUGUGGACUUUAUUUUGUUUGCUUUGAAAAUUCGAGUAUUCAAAGCGGGCGUUUGCUUGGAAUCGCGGAAUAGGACCCUGGUCCUAUUUUGUUGGGUUUGGGGACUAGGAUAGUGGUUAAUGGUGGUAGUUGGGGACCUUCAUAUUUAAUUGUCAGAUGUGAGAAUCUUGGAUUUCUGAAAGAUGCACUUCUGCGAAAGCAUUUGCCGAGGGUUUUUUCA